UUUGCUCACAGCUUUGGAUCACCAAAAAAAAAACUCAAGAGAGACUUUGUGGCCAUGGCAGCCUCUCUCCAAUCCACCGCUACAUUCCUCCAGUCGGCGAAGAUCGCCACCGCUCCUUCUCGCGGAAGUUCUCACCUCCGAUCGACUCAAGCCGUCGGCAAAUCUUUUGGGCUCGAAACUUCCUCGGCUCGCCUCACUUGCUCCUUCCAGUCUGACUUUAAGGACUUCACCGGUAAAUGCUCCGACGCUGUCAAAAUCGCCGGAUUCGCUCUUGCCACCUCUGCUCUCGUCGUCUCGGUAACUUUCUUUAAUCUCCGACUCUCCUUUAAAACUAUAGAUUAAUCAAGAAAAAAAAGGAGAAUUGAGUAACAGAGAAGAAGAGUAUUUUGUUGUGUUUGUGAUAACAUGUUUAUGAUUUGCAUUACUAUGUAUCGAAGUUGGCACUUGAGAACACCUAAACCAAUAACAGACUCGGAUAGUAUAAUAGAAGGAGAAACCGCUAUUCCAAUUCUGUAAUCUUCGAUUCAUGUAGAUACAAUCUUCUUGGAUCAGUGAGUUUGAUUUAAAGUUGCUUGUUUCUCGUGUAAUGAAAGGGAGCAAGUGCGGAGGGAGCUCCAAAGAGAUUGACCUAUGAUGAGAUUCAGAGCAAGACAUACAUGGAAGUGAAAGGAACUGGAACGGCUAACCAGUGCCCUACUAUUGACGGUGGCUCUGAGACUUUCUCGUUCAAACCCGGAAAGUAUGCAGGAAAGAAGUUCUGCUUCGAGCCUACUUCCUUCACCGUCAAGGCAGACAGUGUAAGCAAGAACGCUCCUCCAGAGUUCCAGAACACAAAGCUCAUGACCCGUCUUACCUACACCCUUGACGAGAUCGAAGGACCCUUCGAGGUUCGAUUUCGCGUCUUUGCUUAGACUGCAAGAAAAAACUCUGCUUAGGGUUAGGGUUUGUGAUUGAUCGUCUCUUUAAUGAGCAGGUUGCUUCAGACGGAAGCGUCAAUUUCAAGGAAGAAGAUGGAAUCGACUAUGCUGCAGUCACAGUCCAACUUCCAGGAGGUGAACGUGUGCCAUUCCUUUUCACAGUCAAACAGCUUGACGCCUCAGGCAAACCAGACAGCUUCACCGGAAAAUUCUUGGUUCCAUCGUACCGUGGCUCUUCCUUCUUGGACCCAAAGGGCCGUGGUGGAUCCACAGGAUAUGACAACGCCGUGGCAUUGCCAGCUGGAGGCAGAGGAGACGAGGAGGAGCUUGUAAAGGAGAACGUGAAGAACACUGCCGCUUCAGUGGGAGAGAUCACUCUGAAAGUGACAAAGAGCAAGCCGGAGACAGGAGAGGUGAUCGGAGUGUUCGAGAGUCUUCAGCCGUCGGAUACUGACUUGGGUGCUAAGGUACCAAAGGAUGUGAAGAUCCAAGGGGUGUGGUAUGGUCAACUUGAGUGAUCAUGUUAUUAUAUUUUCCGUUGAUUGUGUUUGAUGAUAAUGAUAACAUCUUUUGAUGCUUUCUUCGUUUAUCUCUCUUAUAUAAAAUGCACAUGCCUAAGAUCUUGAAUUUUCUGUAUAUCCAUGUCCUUCAUCGUAAAAACAGUACCGAUUUUAACCUUACGGUCUAUGAUGAGAAAAGCAUAAAAAUUGUUUGUUAUCGACUAAAUCUGGUUUGGUUAAGACUUAAGAGUCUAUUGGAAAGUUGUGAAGCACAUGUUAAGCAGUUGAGGUGAGUCUCUUUGUAAAGGUGAAGAUGAGUUUAUAUAUCGUACUACUUGUUUAAACUCAAUAAACUAGGCUAAGUUAGCAUUUAUCAGAACUAUAACCAAAUCGAAUUUGUUGUAUAUAUAGAUUGGUACAGUUAUUUAUCACCAAAUUUAGUCCACUUCGAACCAAGUCAAAGAAAAAUAGGAAAUGCACAUCCUUAAGAACCUCUAAUUGUCGGUUAAAAAAGACUAAGAACUGUUCAAAACUUAUGAUCUCAAAUGGUAAUAAUAGAAAGAACUAGCCGUUGUUUGUUUGUUUUUGUCUCCCUUCAACCCAACCCUUUGUGUAUUUUUCCUACACUAUAUUAUCCAAUGUUUGGGCCUUAAAACAUGUUAUCAGUCCCCAAUAUGAUGGGCUUUCUUGUAUAAGUUCCUUUUUUCUUCAUCUUUUUAUAAAUAGAUAAACCUCCAUUUGACAGUAACAACAAAAAUAUACAUGACUGGAUUGCAUGGUACUCCUGUGAUAUAGUAUUUUAUAAGAAAUUAGUUAGAUGCAUCGGGUGGCGAGUAGCAAGUGGAAAUAAUGUUUUAAUUUUUGAAAAUAAUUUAGUCUUAAUCCGCCACUGAUUACGCUGUAUUUUAAUGUGCAUGGGGUGUGAAUAUUAUAUAAACAACAGUGUUUUUGUUUAACCUAUAAAUUAAAAUAUAUAAUGGUCUGGGUUUGGUCUUACAUCUCGAAACAUGAAAGAACACAGACAAUUACGUUGGCGUGGGACACAGCACAUAACAACUGCAGAUCGCAGACAGAUUCUCUCUUAAGUAUCAAACCAUUAAACCACUCGUAUUAGUCUAAUUAGUCAGAUUAGUUUAUCUUCCUAGGGACAUAAUUCUAUUUUAUAUUUCAGAUAGAUCGGAUUCAUCGCAAUGCAUAGUACAAAUCUUACAUUCACUCGGCCAAAAUUUUCAGAUCUUGUAGCAGUAGAUUGUAUGAGCGUGUGUUAGUACUACCUAAUCACAUGUUCGAAAUCUAAAAUCACUAUUGUUUUAUAGCAAAUUAAUUUAUAGAUAUUAAAGACAGUAACAAAGAACUUCAAAAAAUUACCAUAAGAGUAUUAUCAAAUAGGAACAAGAAUGUGCCUCGUGCUCGAAAUGGAAGUAUAUCGUAAGCAAAAUUGUAUUAUUGUCUAAUUUCACCUCAUGGAAUAACUAUUGUUGGCCUUAUAUAUGUUUUUGUCAUUACCGUGGCAGAUUAAUAUCCACUAGACCUGAGUGACCUGACGAACCAUUAUUUAAAUAUUCAAACAAAAUGGUUAUAGGAACUUGGGACAAGUUUUUACGUAUGUAAAAACAAAAGAUAUAUCAGACAAAAUCAAGUAAAAUAUUUAAAAAAUCCCAUCGUAAAAUUAGACAUCGGUGGAGACGUGGGUGAUUUCAGUCCCACAAAAACAUAGGAAAAAAAAGAAAGAUAUUUUUGUGUGUGUGUGAAUAAUUCUCUAUAUUCAGAAGUAUAGAGGGGUAGGGGGAUUAGAUAUUUACUUGUCGACCACUUAAAUAGAUAUUUUACUUAAUCAUUAACAUAGCAAACAUAGCAAAUGAUAUUUUAAAAGUGAUCAGUCACCUUUAACACAAAAAGAAAGACGAAACUCUUCAACGAAUCGAUAUGACUGAAAUCAUUAAACCAUGCAAUAUAAUAUCGUAAACACAAUACAAAAAUCAAAUUCUAUACAGCUUUUGCAUACCGUCCAAAUCCACCAUAAAAAUAGACACUAUAAUUUUAAAGGUCUUCCUAAUAAAUGCCACAUUCAUGCAAAAUAAAAAAAGUAACAAUAAAAAAUGAAGGUAGGUGACUCUUGUAUCUACCAAAAGGGUCCAAAAAGAAUCUAAAGGGACCCAAUCACACAUGCCAGCCUGACCAGCCCCAAUAGUCUUCACGUGAGAUCUAACCCACCGGUGACGCUAAACCUCCGGCCAACUCAAUCUUGUCUGCUUGCCGGUCCUGCCUCUGUCUGCCACGUGGCAUCUUCCUCCCUCACAAGUCACCACCUAUGCUCCUUCC
rnacentral:lncRNA from 1 species